GCUAAGGCGGUACCAGCCCGCAAGCUACCCCUCUUCCCAUUGGGUCUGCAAUUAACCAAGGGUGGCCGGGCGUGAGAGGUCCCCGCCCCCUGCUGGCUCCUGACUCUGUUUUAAACCAGCUUUCCUUUUAUUAAUUUUCUUCGGGGUCAAUGAGAGAGAGGCCUUGCCGAGAGGGGUGUAAUUCUCUACCCGCUAAACGGAAGAGGAGCUGACCACCACCAGGUUAAGAAAAAAUACACAUGUAUUACAAGAUGGGUGCCGUCAUGAUUGAAGAGUUUACAUCCAAAGUGGUUCUGAUCGGCUGAUUGUUUCUCCUUCUGCUGCCCAGGUGGUAGACAUGACCCACAAUCAGGAUUCUCGAAGGCGAUGGAGAUAAAAGGAAAAUCUGCCCUCUCAGAGGAUAAUCAUAUAAAUGAAGAAAGAGUUAUAUCAGAGGUGGUGGACAUUUGGAUUAUUUCCAGUUUGGGGCUAUUGUGAAUAAAGCUACCAUGAACAUCUGAGUAAAUCUUUGAGUGGACAGAUAUUUUCAUCACAUCUCUUGGGUAAAUAUCUAGCAUUGAGAUCGUUGGGAUGUAUGCAAAGGAAUAAUGAAGAAUGUCAAGAAUACACCAUAACCUUUGCAGAGGCUAACAAAAUGUCACACCAGUUUGGCACAUAUCUACAGAGCUAAUUACAGUUCUCUAAAGCAGAAGGGAUCCUUAACGGACUCAAAGGCCGUGAAAUCAGAAGCAUGGCAUGUUUAGAGCAAUGCAAGAGCCUCCAUUAUACACUAAUUCAAUCUCUUCACUUUACAGGAGCAAAGCAGUGCGGAUCUCUCUUUCUGCCCUAAGGAGACUCUACCUCGAUGCUGCUGGUGUGUGUCUUGUCCUCUCCCUGCUGGAGCCCCGCUAAGUCAUGGAGAACACUUACUGUUCCUGCCUGGGAAUCCCAGCUGCCCAGUCUUCCCUGACCGGACACCCGAUGUACUAUAAGGGGGCCAUAGGGUUUCAUCUCCAUGGAGUCAGGCUGUAACUGUGCCGGACUUUAUCCUCUUACACCCCAGGGAAAGCCUCCCAGACUAGGCCUUCAAAAGGAGGGAGUCUGAUAUAAAUGCCCCCUCUCUCUGUCCUUCUUCAACCUCUCUCUAGCUAAUGUAGUCUGUCUUUGAAGCCCCCAGUUGGGUGCCCCCAUGCCCACCCAUCCCUCAGGAAAACCCUGCCCUCCCCGUAGGAGGACGUUCCUCCCCUCGGACUUUUGUAGGGACUUGCAAACUUGAGCACCCGAGAGGCUGUGCUUUGCUUAGUCGCAGCUGACCCUGGGAGGGCAAGGAUCAUCCCCAGUGUUUGAUGUCUUUGGCAUCCUUAGAAAUGUCCCUAAAAAGCAAUGCACACCUCUCUAAGGUGUGAAACAGGGUGCUGUC